CCAAUAGCGUAUAUUAAAGUUGUUGCAGUUAAAAAGCUCGUAGUUGAAUUUCGAGAUCGGCUUACUGGUCGUGCUUUUGUACGUACUGGUAUAAUCGGUUUCUCCUUUCUGACGAACUUUAAUGCCAUUAAUUUGGUGUUUUAGGGAAUCAGGACUGUUACUUUGAAAAAAUUAGAGUGUUUAAAGCAAGCUCACGCUUG
rnacentral:rRNA from 1 species